rnacentral:rRNA from 1 species
UAAGGGGGGGGCAAGCGUUGUUCGGAUUUACUGGGCGUAAAGGGUGCGUAGGCGGUCCGUUAAGUUGGAUGUGAAAACUCUGGGCUUAACCCAGAGCCUGCAUUCAAAACUGACGGGCUAGAGUUCUGGAGGGGGUAGCGGAAUUCCUGGUGUAGCGGUGAAAUGCGUAGAUAUCAGGAGGAACACCGGUGGCGAAGGCGGCUACCUGGACAGAAACUGACGCUGAGGCACGAAAGCUAGGGGAGCAAACAGG